CAGGGUAUGAAAUGUCGAGCGCGAGCGACACCUAAGUUUACCCCACGCGACAUACAUUUUACUGAAACGACAACAGAUGAUGCGACGGCGGUUGCGAUUAUCGGAGGAAUUCCCCAGUAGUUGUGGCGUUAUUGAGCAAUA